rnacentral:rRNA from 1 species
CGUGUAGGCGGUUGGUCAAGUCUGGCGUGAAAGCCCGGGGCUUAGCUCCGGAAGUGCGCUGGAAACUAGCCGACUGGAGCGCGAUAGAGGAGGGUGGAAUUCCUGGUGUAGCGGUGAAAUGCGUAGAUAUCAGGAGGAACACCGGCGGCGAAGGCGGCCCUCUGGAUCGUUGCUGACGCUGAGACGCGAAAGCGUAGGGAGCAAACAGGAUUAGAUACCCUGGUAGUCCACGCUGUAAACUAUGGGUACUAGGUGUUCGGGGUGUUGACCCCCUGAGUGCCGACGCUAACGCAUUAAGUACCCCGCCUGGGGACUACGGUCGCAAGGCUAGA